CCACUGACUCUGUCAAAGUAAGACUGUUUACCACGCUCUACAUGUGAUUAAUAAACAACCAACCUCCGUGCUUUUAUUUUGAACUGCGAACGCCGGUGUGUUUUCCGGUUCGUCUGCGUGCGUCUUGACGCAGCUGUGAUUGCGUGCAGCUGAUGCGGAUCCACGCCGGCCACGAGCUGUGAUCGACUGCGCUCCCCUCCAAUAGCAGAAGACCAUUUAUAAUACGACACCGCCCCCCUCAUCGUCUGUUUGGAGAGACUGGAAAACAGGGCAAGAAGUCCUCCAGUGUUGCGGCUGUUUGAAUGCCAGACGUGCACUCCAAUUUUACGCGGUCGACUGAAUAAGCGACUUAAGGACGAGGCUUUGACAUGUCAGCAGAGUCAUGGUACGCCGAGGUGCUCGACGCGCAGCCCCCUUCCUCGGAGCCAUUUUGGACCGGUUACCAUGGAGAUGUGGGUCAUGGUGAGUGAGAGGAGACGUGUGGCUGGUGGUGGAGUCGGAGCACUGCAGGCUGCGGGAGCAGGAGGGCCAUAAACUCUCAUUAUAUCUGGGUCACUGGGAUGCUCCAGCUGCAACGAGCAGACAAGACGCUAUUAUGCAAGAAGAGGGAUGAGGGAAGUUGUGGGCACAGGGGCUUAUAGUUACAGGGGGACGUCUGUUUACUGGGCGAGACAUAUGUUAGGAGGGUGCGUGAUGAUAUAAUACGAGAACAGCUGAGCGGAGCUUUCUCUGCUCAGCUGUCCGGAGCAUGUUGUUGUUAUUGUCACUUAAAUGUCCAUCUACAGGUUGUGAUAAACACCUUCUCAGGCCCCAUUUGUUGCAGCUUUGUAUAUCAAUAAAUACGUUUAACUUCUUUAACCCCCUAAUUUUGAAUUUAGUUUUGAGUUAAGCAAAACAUCAAACCAUUUAAAAAGCUGGAGGCUGUAUGGUAUGACAUUUUCAAAUAAAGAUUUAAUCUUUCA